rnacentral:rRNA from 1 species
GACGAACGCUGGCGGCGUGCCUAAUACAUGCAAGUUGAGCGAUGAAGCUUGGUGCUUGCACCAAUUUGAAGAGCAGCGAACGGGUGGGUAACGCGUGGGGAAUCUGCCUUUGAGCGGGGGACAACAUUUGGAAACGAAUGCUAAUACCGCAUAACAACUUUAAACAUAAGUUUUAAGUUUGAAAGAUGCAAUUGCAUCACUCAAAGAUGAUCCCGCGUUGUAUUAGCUAGUUGGUGAGGUAAAGGCUCACCAAGGCGAUGAUACAUAGCCGACCUGAGAGGGUGAUCGGCCACAUUGGGACUGAGACACGGCCCAAACUCCUACGGGAGGCAGCAGUAGGGAAUCUUCGGCAAUGGACGAAAGUCUGACCGAGCAACGCCGCGUGAGUGAAGAAGGUUUUCGGAUCGUAAAACUCUGUUGGUAGAGAAGAACGUUGGUGAGAGUGGAAAGCUCAUCAAGUGACGGUAACUACCCAGAAAGGGACGGCUAACUACGUG